rnacentral:rRNA from 1 species
UUUAACGCGAAGAACCUUACCAGGGCUUGACAUCCAUCGAAUCCGGCUGAAAGGCGGGAGUGCCCUUCGGGGAGCGAUGAGACAGGUGGUGCAUGGUUGUCGUCAGCUCGUGUCGUGAGAUGUUGGGUUAAGUCCCGCAACGAGCGCAACCCCUAUGGUAUGUUGCCAGCACGUGAAGGUGGGCAUUCAUGCCAGACUGCCGGUGACAAACCGGAGGAAGGUGGGGAUGACGUCAAAUCAGCAUGCCCUUGAUGUCGUGGGCGACACACGUGUUACAAUGGCCGACACAGCGGGAACCGAAGUGGCGACACGGAGGGAACCGCGAAAGGCGGUCGUAGUUCAGAUCGCAGGCUGCAACUCGCCUGCGUGAAGCCGGAGUUAUAGUAUUAUUUUUUUUUUUAAGAACCCGGGACCC